UAGACUAUUGGAGGAAAGGUAAUUUGAACAAAGGUUUCAGAAAAUGUUGUCAUUUCAUGUGUGGUGUGUACAAGAAGCACGAUGAACACAUUUAUCCUCCUCGCCUUCGUAAUCAUGCCAGUUCUGGCAAAACUGGCACCGGUGCUGCCAUACCGAUCGUUGCCGCAUGUACCCCCGGAGGAUAUCCCCGUAUGUAUAAAAUGGGAUGAUCCCAACUGCUACAAGUUCUGCGACCGCAUCAAAGGUGUUCUGAGAGUACGGAGGGCUUUCUGCUUUCACAACAGUUGCGCCUGUGACUUUGUUAGUGGUGACUACAAAAUGUAGUCGCGUCAGUGGUACCGAUAUUUGCGACGGAGUUGGCGAUUGUUAAAAACUGCAAUUGCAAUAAACUGUAAAGAACCA